rnacentral:rRNA from 1 species
UUGAUGGCUCAGUGAGGCGUCCGGACUGGCCCAGAGAGGUGGGCAACUACCACUCAGGGCCGGAAAGCUCUCCAAACUCGGUCAUUUAGAGGAAGUAAAAGUCGUAACAAGGUCUCCGUUGGUGAACCAGCGGAGGGAUCAUUACCGAGUUUACAACUCCCAAACCCAAUGUGAACGUUACCAAACUGUUGCCUCGGCGGGAUCUCUGCCCCGGGUGCGUCGCAGCCCCGGACCAAGGCGCCCGCCGGAGGACCAACCAAAACUCUUAUUGUAUACCCCCUCGCGGGUUUUUUUAUAAUCUGAGCCUUCUCGGCGCCUCUCGUAGGCGUUUCGAAAAUGAAUCAAAACUUUCAACAACGGAUCUCUUGGUUCUGGCAUCGAUGAAGAACGCAGCGAAAUGCGAUAAGUAAUGUGAAUUGCAGAAUUCAGUGAAUCAUCGAAUCUUUGAACGCACAUUGCGCCCGCCAGUAUUCUGGCGGGCAUGCCUGUCCGAGCGUCAUUUCAACCCUCGAACCCCUCCGGGGGGUCGGCGUUGGGGAUCGGCCCUGCCUUGGCGGUGGCCGUCUCCGAAAUACAGUGGCGGUCUCGCCGCAGCCUCUCCUGCGCAGUAGUUUGCACACUCGCAUCGGGAGCGCGGCGCGUCCACAGCCGUUAAACACCCAACUUCUGAAAUGUUGACCUCGGAUCAGGUAGGAAUACCCGCUGAACUUAAGCAUAUCAAUAAGCGGAGGAAAAGAAACCAACAGGGAUUGCCCCAGUAACGGCGAGUGAAGCGGCAACAGCUCAAAUUUGAAAUCUGGUCCCUAGGGCCCGAGUUGUAAUUUGUAGAGGAUGCUUUUGGUGAGGUGCCGCCCGAGUUCCCUGGAACGGGACGCCACAGAGGGUGAGAGCCCCGUCUGGCUGGCCGCCGAGC